rnacentral:rRNA from 1 species
GAUGAACGCUGGCGGCGUGCCUAAUACAUGCAAGUCGAGCGAACAGACGAGGAGCUUGCUCCUCUGACGUUAGCGGCGGACGGGUGAGUAACACGUGGAUAACCUACCUAUAAGACUGGGAUAACUUCGGGAAACCGGAGCUAAUACCGGAUAAUAUAUUGAACCGCAUGGUUCAAUAGUGAAAGACGGUUUUGCUGUCACUUAUAGAUGGAUCCGCGCCGCAUUAGCUAGUUGGUAAGGUAACGGCUUACCAAGGCAACGAUGCGUAGCCGACCUGAGAGGGUGAUCGGCCACACUGGAACUGAGACACGGUCCAGACUCCUACGGGAGGCAGCAGUAGGGAAUCUUCCGCAAAGGGCGAAAGCUUGACGGAGCAACGCCGCGUGAGUGAUGAAGGUCUUCGGAUCGUAAAACUCUGUUAUUAGGGAAGAACAAAUGUGCAAGUAACUAUGCACGUCUUGACGGUACCUAAUCAGAAAGCCACGGCUAACUACGUG